GUCUCUACAGGAAUGUUAUUUUACAUCAAUAUUCUGGUGCUGUAUGCCAGUCGCCCGUCAUACCCCUAAUAUAUUGAAUCACAGUAGUGGUACAGAGAUUUGGACAAUCUAUCAUCUACAGGAUGAUGUCAGGAUCACAAACAAAUAAGAAAAUCUGUUCAAGAACAUCAAGAAACUGUCCACUGAGACAUAAAAACAUGUACAGAGGUAAUUUCAAAAUACACACAAAGCAGGAUUUGUCAAAAGUGUGUUUUUGACAAAGAAGCUGGUUUAAACCUUUGUGGAUGUGGAUAUUGAAACCUCUUAAAACUCUUGAAAGAUGAGGAAAAGGAACCAUUGAAAUGGAACAUGUUGGACAGGGAAAUCAAGAUCAUGCAUUUAUAAAAGAUGACAGCAUAUCAGCACUGCCUUAAGAUUGGAGUGGAGACGUUGUAUUUUUUACACAGAAAAUAAAGAACAGUUGCUGAAUGAAACAGAGGCUCGCAGAAACAAAUGUAAUGAGCCCAAAAUGAUGGCGAUCAAUUUUGAAUGAUUUUAUUCUCUGGUUGAAAUGAUACUGAUCCAAUUUUAGAAGUGGUUGACAAUGAAUACUAAGUAUUUUGUUGUAUAUAAGUAUAAUGGCUUAUUUUAAAACUGUAUAAAGCUUGCAAUGUUUAUAUCAAAUGUAAUGAUAUUGUGUAGGAAUCAAUUUUUUUAAGGAUAAAAGAUGUAUUUUUUUUUUUAAUCAGAAUUUCCUAAAAAGACUUUCUAAUGUAAAUACAUGUAUGGAUAAUAGAAGUUUAUAAUCCUUUCUUUUACUGUCAUUGAAAUACUGGAGUAAUGAACUCAAUUUUACACCAAAGAUGUUUUAAUAUGAAAGUUUCAAAUUUCAAGGUUUUAUGAAGUUUGAAUUGCGGCUCAUAUUGCUUUUUAUUGAACUAUCUCCCUUAACCUUAGAUUUGUAGUGCAUUCUAUGUAAUAAAUUUAAUUUUGGAACAUGGGAAAGGUCUUGUUUUGAAGAGUAAAUGGGUUUAAUACAUGUACAUCUAUAUUUCACACAUGUAUAUUUGUACAAAUAAUUGAUCUUCCCAAAGAGUUAUUGCCCUUGUUCACAAUGUAAAAAAAAAUCUGAAUGAUAUAUGCAUGUCUGUUUUACAAAAAUCAAAGAGAUAAAUUUAUUUUAUAUGUUUUAGAAAUGUCCUCAUUGUGUCCAGUAUCUGCUUUUCUUACCAGUAUUAAUGAUGUUGAAAUAAGC